UCAGCGGCAUCCACCCCGCUAUCCCCAACCCUCACGGCCCCCCCAACCUCCCACCAACACCCCACCCGGUCCUUGCGCUUGCCCCCCCACCAUCGUACCCCCACACCCCCAAAACUACUACACUCAACUACCCCCAAGUUCCCCUUAACUCAUUGCAGAGCUGGAGCCAGUGUUCUUCACUCCAGUGUUCUUCGGUCCAGGUCUGGUUCUUUCCCAUGGUUACAAGCUGCUUACAUGCUAGCCUGCACUGUGCAGUGUGGCUAUGCGGCUAGCUGACUCCUCCCACAGCUCUGCUGUCAGCAUGCGAAUGGCGGCGCUGCCAGUAGGCGGAGCUAAUACAGGUCUGCACGGCAACCGCUGUGAUGGAGAACCAGCUGGACCCUGAAUCAGAACCUCAGCCUGGUUCCAGCUCUGUAAUGUGAAAGGGGAUGAACAGCAAAAGGGACACGCCCAUAUUUCCUCCUCCAGUCACAAUCCUGGGGAGAAUUGUGGUUUUAUCUGGGGACCAAAAUGCAUUUAAAACUCACGUAUAACAGUCCUGAGUUACUGUAAAAUUGUAUAAAAUUAAGCAUCUAUCUUAAGUAUCCAUUUCUGUCCAUGAAUCAAUUGUAUUCAAUGUAGUAUUUUACAAAUUAAUAUAUGACAUACUUUUAUUUUAUAUAUGAAUUUUACCAAACUAGUCAAAUGUAUUUUCCUUAAAGCUGUAGUGAAUAUAGUUUUUGUUUUGGCAUAUGUUCUAGUUCAGUCAUAUCAGCUGGCCAUGGGUCUGAUGCUCGUUUGUACAGGCUGGGUUUGUCCAAGAACAUUAUCUGUAGUUUGGACACCUUUGAAAGAGCAAAGUUCUGGCUGAGUGAGGUGGAAGCAGCUGAGCCUACAGUGAGGUGUCUUGUGCAGUAAUGAACUUGAGCAUCUUUGUCAUAUAUUAUCUUAUAUCGUUCACAGUGACAUGAAUGACAUAAGUAAUGAUUUACCUUAUGGUUAUUAGGCUUUUGUUAGUCUCUUAGAUUAUUAAUAGACAAUUGCAUUAAUAAAGCAGUAGUCUAUUAAUAUUCAUCUGAAACUAAUUUAGAGUUGCAUUAGUCUUAAACUAAUUUAUGUUUAUUAGUUCAGGUCUAAUAGACUUAAAGAUCAUGAGUACUGGUGCAGGAUAUUGAAUUAGAGGCUGACUGCUGGUGCCCAUUUGGAAUUGAGUCUGUGAAACACACACGCACACAAACACACAAAAACACACGCACACACACACACACACACACACACACACACGUUCCCUCAGUCCCUUUUCCUGUUGGUGCGCCCCACUCCUCCUCCUCAGUUGCAGUAAUCAGUGAAAGUGUUCUUUCCUCACAUUCUCUAACACUCACCUCAAACCCGCUAACGGUCUGCACUCCCUGGCCUUUUACAACCGAGCUAAAAUAAA